UGAAAUUGAGAGUGAGAGAGGAAAGAGCUUGAGAGGGUGGCGAAUUCUGGAGUUUUUAGAAGCUAAUCAAGCAAGGAGCAUCAUUGGAGGAAUUCGAGUAAAAGGAAUUCAUCAAAGAGGUAAGCCAUGAUUUUUUUUUCACGUUCUUAAGUAAAAAUGAGAGAAUAUGCUUAUGAGACUUUUUGCAAACGAUUUGUUUUGGACCUUGUGAUGCCAUGCUACUGUUAGUUGUUGAUAUGUGGAUGUUAAGAAUGAAAGUUCUGGUUUAAUCAUGCC
rnacentral:lncRNA from 1 species